AUUGAACGCUGGCGGCAGGCUUAAUACAUGCAAGUCGAGCGGGGGAAGGUAGCUUGCUACCGGACCUAGCGGCGGACGGGUGAGUAAUGCUUAGGAAUCUGCCUAUUAGUGGGGGACAACAUCUCGAAAGGGAUGCUAAUACCGCAUACGUCCUACGGGAGAAAGCAGGGGAUCUUCGGACCUUGCGCUAAUAGAUGAGCCUAAGUCGGAUUAGCGAGUUGGUGGGAUAGAGGCCGACCAAGGCGACGCUAUGUAGCGGGUCUGAGAGGAUGAUCCGGCACACUUGGACUGAGACACGGCCCAGACUCCUACGGGAGGCAGCAGGGGGGAAUAUUGGCCAAUGGGGGGAACCCUGAUCCAGCGAUGCCGCGUGUGUGAAGAAGGCCUUAUUGUUGUAAAGCUCUUUAAGCGAGGAGGAAGCUCUUUUGGUUAAUACCCAAGAUGAGUGGACGUUACUCGCAGAAUAAGCACCGGCUAACUCUGUGCCAGCAGCCGCCGUAA
rnacentral:rRNA from 1 species